rnacentral:ncRNA from 2 species
AAUCUAAUCGAUCUCCGAGCCGACCGACCUAAAGAUAUCUACUCCAAGGUCAGAGGCCUACGGGUCUUGCUGGAAACGGUGCGACCUCCCGCUUUGGAAAGGAGAGUCCUUCUGCGCCGC